GACGAACGCUGGCGGCGUGCUUAACACAUGCAAGUCGAACGGAAAGGCCUGCUUUCCCUUGUGGAUUGCGGGUACUCGAGUGGCGAACGGGUGAGUAACACGUGAGUGAUCUGCCCCCAACUUGGGUAUAAGCCUGGGAAACUGGGUCUAAUUCCCGAUAGGACUGCAGGGUUGUGCCUGUGGUGGAAAACGAUUUUCUAGUGGUUGGGGAUGAGCUCGCGGCCUAUCAGCUUGUUGGUGGGGUAAUGGCCUACCAAGGCGGCGACGGGUAGGCGGCCUGAGAGGGUGGACGGGCACAUUGGGACUGAGAUACGGCCCAGACUACUACGGGAGGCAGCAGUGGGGGAUGUAGCACGGUGGGCGGAAGCCUGAUGCAGCGACGCAGGGUGGGGGAUGGCGGGCGUCGGGUAGUAAACUCCUUUGGAACGCGAGGAAGCCACGUGGUUGGAAGGGUGGUGACGGUAGUGGUAGAAGAAGCACCGGCUAACUACGUG
rnacentral:rRNA from 1 species